AUUGAACGCUGGCGGCAUGCUUUACACAUGCAAGUCGAACGGUAACAGGCCGCAAGGUGCUGACGAGUGGCGAACGGGUGAGUAAUGCAUCGGAACGUGCCCAGUCGUGGGGGAUAACGCAGCGAAAGCUGCGCUAAUACCGCAUACGAUCUAUGGAUGAAAGCGGGGGACCGUAAGGCCUCGCGCGAUUGGAGCGGCCGAUGUCAGAUUAGGUAGUUGGUGGGGUAAAGGCUCACCAAGCCAACGAUCUGUAGCUGGUCUGAGAGGACGACCAGCCACGCUGGGACUGAGACACGGCCCAGACUCCUACGGGAGACAGCAGUGGGGAAUUUUGGACAAUGGGCGCAAGCCUGAUCCAGCAAUGCCGCGUGCAGGAAGAAGGCCUUCGGGUUGUAAACUGCUUUUGUACGGAACGAAACGGUCCUGGUUAAUACCUGGGGCUAAUGACGGUACCGUAAGAAUAAGCACCGGCUAACUAUGUGCCAGCCGCCGCCGUAACAC
rnacentral:rRNA from 1 species